GACAGAGGGUGCAAACGUUGUUCGGAAUUACUGGGCGUAAAGCGCGUGUAGGCGGCCCUGCAAGUCGGGUGUGAAAUCCCACGGCUCAACCGUGGAAGUGCACUCGAAACUGCAGGGCUAGAGUCCUGGAGAGGAAGGUGGAAUGCUUGGUGGUAGAGGUGAAAUUCGUAGAUAUCAAGCGGAACACCGGUGGCGAAGGCGGCCU
rnacentral:rRNA from 1 species